UUUCAACACUCCGCUGAUCAGAUAGCCUUCUGUACAAUGCUGCAGACACUGUUUUCGUGUCCUAAAAGCAUUAGCAAUAUGGAUCAUUUUUUAAGCCCUUGAUUGCAAACUUUAGAUUACUCAACUAAAUAUGGAAAAGGUGCAGCCACCUUUCUUGACACACAUUUAGGAGCAAUAAGACCUGAGAAUCUUUGAACAAGAACUGAAAGGGGACUUCUUUUUUUUUCUCAAAAAAUUUCCUAAGAGAAGAAACUUUAUAGAAUGGCAUCAAAAAGCUGUUGAUUGCUGAGCUCAGGCUCCUCAGGCUGCUGUUGUAAAAACUGUCCGACGUCACUUCAGAAAUCUCUCUUCAGUGGACAGCAGCGCUUGGACUCGCCCUAAGUUAUCCAAUAAGGAAACUUCUGUGUCCCUCUCAUCAGUGGGAAAUGGCAGGACCCAAGAGGAGGAGGGGGGAAGAAAAAUUUGAAAGAUUGCAGGCCACUGAGAUAGAUACAGAGCACUGAAACAAAACAUGCUUUAUCUAUUUGCAAGGUCGGUGCCCUCAGCUGGAACAGAAGUUUUGGAAGUGUAGUAGAGGAAAAGUUUCAUCUAUCACAAGUGCUAGCUAAGGCAUGUUUAAAUUCUGUUUAUGAAGCAGUUUAAGGAAAUUUGGGCAAUGGGACUUAGGAAAUUGUAACCACAUUUGCCCAAUAGAUUGCAGAAAUAAUAGCAGCCAAGAAAAAAAAAAUUCCAACAAAUUUUUCUGUAAAGUUACCUAGACAACACUCAAUUCCCAUGUCAGGUAAAAUGCACAUAUUGACUGCUAUGAACAGUGAUGUAGAUGAACUUGACUUAAAACAACUAUUUUCAUAUGCCUUUAAGUUAAACCUAAAACGCCUGUGAAAGAUACAGCAGUCAGGCUUGUCACAGAAAUAUAAAAUGAAAGGCACUGGCUCUUUGGCACGUCUUUGAUUUCUUUCUGAACAGCUUGGUUCAGUCAGAUAAUUCUGUUCAUAGUUAUAUCUAUUUAGUCUUGGAGUAAUGCCAUCAAAUUCAAUGGUGUUACAUGGAUUUAAAUUGCUUAAAGGAGAAGAAAGUAUAUUCAUUACAUCUCUGGAGUUACUCUAGCAGUGCAUUUAGCCUAGAAUGUGCAGCUAAUGUGCUAGAUUAUUUAACUGUUACUGAGAUGAGACAAGCACGGGGCACAGUUUCAGAGGCCAUAAUGUAGCAAGUAUCAUAUUGUUUUAGUUUUCAGCAUUUCCAUAUGAUCUGUCUCUCUCUUCGCACACAUGUGGGUGAUUAUCCUUGAGGCCACAGCGCAUUGCACGCACACAACAUACGCAGUAACUGCUUAAGAAGUUUAGGUAGAGGGUGUUAUUGUGUGCUCAACAAUAAAAGGAGAAGUGGCACUUCAGCCUGAUGGUUUUGCAGCAUUCCUUGCAAACUCCAUUGUCUUCUUCCUUAUGCAAGUAGGCACACGUUGUUCUUACAUGCACACACUCACUUUGGGUGUCAGCUGGUUAAUAUUGUGGGCUCUUGACACCUACAGCUUAUCUAAGUGCAAAUAAAUCAACGUGAAUUAUGCAAAUACAGCAAGCCAAGAAUGAAUCCACAGGUUCUGAACAGUAUGGCACAAGCCAGGUCAGCAGUAAUAAUUUAUUUAAAGAGUGCCAUGAUGGGGAGGUAAGAGGAGAGUCCUCCUGCACUGGAAGCAUAUGAUGUUCAUACAAUGGCAAGUAUCUUUUCAUUAGAAAUAUGUUCUUGUGUAGUAACACUGACCAGUAUUUUCAAAAGAUGCAGAAUGAAGUAAUCUGAAAUUAAUCUGAUGAGUCAGACAUGACUGCUGAAGCACAUCUAAUCCUACAGCUAUUAGAUUGCUGGUUUACAGUCACUGCACCUAUGUGCAAGUGUAGGUGUAGUGAAACUAGAAGAGGUCUGGAAUCAUCAUGACAAUACUAAGUUUUCAUUGCCUUCCUGGUGAAGGAAAUUGGCAAAAAGUAAAAAAGCCCCUUAGGGAAAAACUGGGAGUUUCAAUAAGAUAGUAUGUUAUGGGAAUUCUGUAAGGUAAAUUGUUGGCAUGAAAGAUGGUGUGUAUGAAAAUUGGAAACCCUGGUGUUUACUUGUAUGUAUGAAAAGAAAUAGGUCAGUGACUUUGUUUCCAUGGUGACCAUUAUUGAAAUAAAACAAACUGACACCAAUGUUGAUUUAUUUCCCUAUUCUGCACCCUUUUAAACAAUUGCCUAAAUCUGAGAUUGCUACCCAAUGAACAGGAUAUCAGAAUGAACUUCCACAGUGUGACCUUCUCAGGGUUAUUAAUGAAAGAAAGGUCUAAAGAAAAGGUCUCCUUCAGAACAAUUCCACCCUCUGAGCAAGUGCCAAUUCCCACUAUCCUGCAGUAACAUGGCUGCCAUGCCGUAGAGCAGGUGCUCUUUGGCAAUUAUUAGACAGAACUAAUUUCAACAAGGUAAAAAGAUCUUCAUCAGAUCUACAGCAUUUCCCAAAAGGAUAGUUUGAUGACUAUGAAUCACUCCUGGGUUUGCUGGUGGCUCACCCUCUGCUUUGAGUCAAAGGGGUGCUGUAGUUACCGGGGUCUGUGAUCUGAGGAAGACUUAAGCAUCUAAAAUUAAUUUAUGUGCUCUUGAGUGCAGGUGUAUUUUAGUAGCUUUCAUAAUCUUGGUUUUAUGUUUUCUCUUGCUUUUGGUCUUGCUUAUGAUGCUUACUUCCAAAUACAUAAAGUGAUAAUUAUAAGAGUUUUCUAUUUCAUAGAGGCUCUGGGAGGUUAAAUUCAUUUGAGAUUUUGAGAUGAUCCAAUAAAAGCUUUAUACAGACAUGCUGUAAAGAUAAAUCCUGCAGCUUCUUGACAUAAUCCACCAGACCAAGGAUAUCAACCUUGUUAUCUUACCACAGCAUAUUAAAAACAUGAGAGAUAAUCAUGUUUGUUUGGCAAUGUUCGUUGUAUAAGAAUUGCCACAGAUAUAGAAAUUAAGAAAAAGAGCAUGGUGUAAUAAUACUUGUGACAACAACAUCAAUAUUUGGUAGCAGUUGAGUGUACAAUUUAUUUCCCAGUAUCGUUGUUUUGAUCUGUUAUAAUCAUAGCCAAUACAUUUAUUUAGGUGAGGAACCAGUUACCCUGCCUAAAUAAAUGUAUUGGCUAUGAUGAUAAGAUAAUUGUUUUAUUGUUUUUGUCCUGCAUAUGAUACUGCAGCAGCCCUGCUUUUUCAUUAGCGCUUGAAGGAAAACAAAAGAUGAAGGAAUGCAUGAACUCUUUUUAAACCUCAACCUAUGAAAGCAAAGGAAGUACAAUGAGAUGUGUUUAUCAGAAAAUGCAUGCCCAUCUACAAGCAUGUAAGUCUCUAAGGAAACAGAAGCACAAAGAACUGAAACCACAGCUAUUAAACAAAGUCAAUUUCUCUCUCCCUGUUUGUAUGAUGAAGUCUGUUACUUCAGUGGAAGCAAGAUUAGACUCUAGGUAUUUUCCUUUGAAACAAAGGCAAUAGUAUCCCCCUCAAAUUGAGCCUCGAGCCUCAAAAAUGUCUUACUGAUAUUUUUGGUUAGGAUAAGACUUUAAAUCUCCUUUCCUAACAUCCUUUCAGUGAGUUUCAAGAGGAGAUUUGGAUGUCAUUAAAGUAGAAAGCAGUGACAGAUGUGGUUGCUCCUCAGAACUGUACCGACAGUAGCCCAGUGCAAUCUAAUUUUUAUUUUUGGUUGUGAUUUCUUAUACUAUGGCUUUAACAUUCAAAUAUCAGUGGUAG